rnacentral:rRNA from 1 species
UGAGAACUACAAUUUCCCAUUAUGGAAAACCAAGUUUUGUUUAAUUUAAACUUGUGUUAAUUUUAUAAUUAACAUAAUUCAACUUAGUGAACUGAAUCAUCUCAGUAACUAAGAAAGAAAUCAACCGAGAUAGCAUUAGUAGUGGAGAGCGAAUGUGCGACUUAGACUAAAAAGUUAUAAUUUAGAAUUUAAUUUUUUAAAAAGUCAGAGAAGGUAAAAACCCUGUAAAAUUCUAUUUAAUUUUAACUUUUGAUUAAAGUAAAUUGAUACAAGUCGUGUAUUGAUUGAAUAUUGGGGGACCACCCUCAAAGUCUAAAAUUUUUGAUGUUUGAUAGUGAAAAGUACUGUGAAGGAAAGGUGAAAAAGAUUUUGUAAAAUUGAAAAGAUAAUGAAUUUUAAUGCAAACAAACAGUUGUAGCUUUAUAAAGUGACAACGUACCUUUUGUAUAAUGGAUCAACAAGUUUAUUUUAGUAGCGAGCUUAAGUAAAAUAUCUACGUAGGCGAAAAGAAAUUGAAUUUUAAAAUGUUUUUAAGUUUCUAAAAUAAGACCCGAAACUAAGUGAUCUAACCAUGAGCUGGUUGAAUUUCAAGUAGUAAUACUUAUUGGAGGACCGAACCCGUGUAUGUGGAAAAAUACUGGGAUGACUUGUGGUUAGGGGUGAAAGGCCAAUCAAACUUAGAGAUAGCUGGUUUUCUGCGAAAUCUAUUUAAGUAGAGCGUUUAAAAUUUCUUUAAUUUGGGGUAGAGCUCUUGAUAAGCAAUGGGGAGUAAAAUCUUACUGAGUUUAUUAAAACUUCGAAUACAAUUUAAAAGACUUUAAGCAGACAGACUAUAGAUGCUAAGAUCUAUAGUCGAGAGGGAAACAGCCCAGACUAAAGGUUAAGGUCCUUAAAAAUAGUUAAGUGAAAAAAAUGUGAAAGAAUGAUGACAACCGAUAGGUAGGAUUAGAAGCAGCCAGCCUCAAAAGAAAGCGUAACAGCUUAUUGGUCGAGUUUUUUUGCAUUGAAAAUGUAAAGGGACUUAAACUAUUUACCGAAACCGUAGAUUAAACAAAAAAAAUUGUUUAAUGGUAGCAGAACGUCCUGUAUGUUUGUGAAAAAUUAUGGACAACAUAAUUUAGAAAAUUCAGGAGUGAAAAUGUUGAUAUGAGUAACGAUAAACAAUGUGCGAAACAUUGUCGUCUUAAGUCCUAGGUUUCCAAAACAAGGCUAAUCCGUUUUGGUAAAAGUUAAUCGGUCUCUAAGAGAAAAACGAAAGUUCUAAUCGAUGGGUAAAAAAUGAAAUUUUUUUAUUAAUUUAUAGUGACAAAAUAAAAAUAUUAUUUUUAUUUUAUGGUAAAAAUAAAAGUUUUAUAUUAUUUUCAAGAAAUAGCUUUAAAUUUUAAAAACCGUACUUAAACCGACACAGGUGGACAAAUUUAGUAAAUUAAGACGCUUGAGAUAAUUAUGUUGAAGGAACUCGGCAAAAUGACUCCGUAACUUCGGAAGAAGGAGUAACUUUAUUAGGGCAACCUUGUAAAGUUGUCACAGAAUCGAGGACAGCGACUGUUUAUUAAAAACACAGGUCUCUGCUAAUUUGUAAAAAGAUGUAUUGAGACUGACGCCUGCCCAGUGCUGCAAGAUUAAAGAAAGAAGUAAUUACGCUUCGAUCCUAACUCCCAGUAAACGGCGGCUGUAACUCUGACGGUCCUAAGGUAGCGAAAUUCCUUGGCAUUUAAUUGGUGUCCUGCAUGAAUGGCGUAACGACUGUCCUACUGUCUCCAACAUAAUCUCAGUGAAAUUGAAUUUUCCGUGAAGAUGCGGAGUACCUGCGGCUAGACGGAAAGACCCCGUGCACCUUUACUAUAGUUAUAUAUUGUCAUAAAAAUUUUUAUGUGCAGCAUAAGUGGGAGUUGAUAUUUAUUUAAUAGUUUCUAUUGAAUAAAUGAGUCUUUGCGCAAGCAAAUUACUUAAACGAUCUUUGAAAUACCACUCUUAAAAUUUUUUAUUACUAAUUUAUUUAAAACAGUGUAUAAUGGGUAGUUUGACUGGGGCGGUCGCCUCCUAAAGAGUAACGGAGGCAUACAAAGGUAAGUUUAAAUUGAUAUAUACCAAUUUUAAAGCGCAAUAGUAUAUACUUGCUUGACUGUAAGAUUGACAAAUCAAACAGGGACGAAAGUCGGUUAUAGUGAUCCGAUAAUUCUAAGUGGAAACGGUUAUCGCUCAAUGAAUAAAAGGUACGCCGGGGAUAACAGGCUAAUCAUUCUCUAGAGACCCUAUCGACGGAAUGGUUUGGCACCUCGAUGUUGGAUUAUCGCAUCCUGGAGCUGUAAGUGGUUCCAAGGGUUUGGCUGUUCGCCAAUGAAAGCGGUACAUGAUCUGAGUUUAGAACGUCGUGAGACAGUUUGGUCCCUAUCUACCGUAGGUGUUGAAAACUGAAAGGACUAAAUCCUAGUACGAGAGGACCGGAGAAAGCGAAUCUCUGGUGAAUCGAUUGUUAUACCAAUAGCACUGUCGAGUAGCUAAAUUCGUAAUAAAUAAUCGCUGAAAGCAUCUAAGCGAGAAAUUAACCUUAAAAUCAGUUUUUAUAUAAAUGUAAAAGACUAUUACAUAGAUAGGCUUGAAGUGUAAGAAUUGUAAAAUUUUUAGCUGACAAGUACUAAAAUUAAAUUACUUAAAUUU